ACCUCGACGCAGUAAGACAAAGUGGGAACCACCCUUGGCAUUCAGUGGUAAAAUGGUGUGCCAUCACCACCCCACUUGCCCAUAGUCAGAAUCACCUCCUGACUGACUGUGGCAUCUUAUCUUUGAUCCAAUCAAUGUUGCCUUCUGGAGUCUGUCAUUCUUUUCUUGUCUAAUCUUUUCAAUUGGCCCCGUCUGCACUUGGCCGCAUUUCUGUAUAUGGUUUUGUACGUAGUCACUGCAAGAUAGACUAUGUGUAUUUUCACAUGGAAAUGUCCAUGGCUUGAUGAGAGCUGAAAGUUAAUGUUUUUGAAACUGAAUAAGGGAAGACACCUACUUUUGUUUAGAAGGAAAGAUAGAUAAGGAGCGUCGUCGAGGAAAAAGAACCUCUCUGAUAUAGAGGAAGCCUGUAAACCAUUUUUCCUUCUUUCUCUUGGCCGCAGACAUUUCUUUAAACGUGUGCUGACCUUCUCCUUGGAGGUCUCCUUGAGGACAUUGUCUUAGAAAUCUCUGUAAAGCCAUUGAACACUUUCCACUGCCAAUUUCUCUACUAUCUACAUGAAGCAUAUAAAGAAUCCCUGGUUCAGUCUCAGGAGCAGGCACAAGCCAGUUAAAGAGAUUGCAGGAAGGGAGAGAUGCCUCCCGAGCACUGAAACAGCAUCUCCAGGCCCUCCUCACUAUGGAUGAGCCGGCCAACUCCCAGAGGCGGGACCUCCGAGAACAGCUGGCCUGUAGGCUGUCACGGCACCUCAUCCGAAAGCUCACCACAGGGAGGUGCGGAAGGCAGAGAAAGAAAAGGAAGUCCCUGAGGACUCAGUGGAGGAAUGUGCCAUCACUUGUUCAAAUAGCUAUGGCCCUUCUGAGUCCAAUCAGCCUCACAAGAACUCCAAAGUCACAUUUAAGGAAGACCAAAUGGACUUGACUCUGCUUAUAGACGUGAAUCGUCUCCUGAUGUACGGCAGGAUGCUCUAAACCUUGUCGCAGGUAGCCUCUAUUUUCCUUGUGUCUCAUACCUCUGUCUAGACUACGGAAGAUCCAUUGUGAGGACAGCUAUAUACUUACAUAUUGGUUUGACUCAGCAACUAGGAUGGAGCUAGGUGCGGUGACUCACACAUAUAUUCGCAUGCAGCACUUUGGGAGGCCCAAGUGGGAGGAUCAUUUGAAUUCAGGAGUUCAAGAGCAGGCUGGACAAUAUGGUGAAACCCAUCUUUACAAUGAAUACAAAACAUUAGCCAGGCAUGUUCCUUUGCCCAUAGUCCCAUCUGCUCAGGAGGCUUAGGUGGGAGGAUUGGCUCAGAUGAUCCUCCCACCCUCAUUCACUUUUCUCAGGCUAGACUCUCUCUCCUUUUCAUUGGCUUGUCUUAGCUGUUAAUAAGAAGUCUCUGGCCAGGGUCGCUGGGCUCACAUCUGUAAUCCCAGUACUUUGGGAGGACAAGGUGGGUGGAUCACCUGAGGUCAGGAGUUCGAAAGCAGCCUGGUCCCAACAUGGCGAGAAAUUGCAUCUCUACUAAAAAUACAAAAAGUAGCUGGCAUGGUGGUUGGUGCCUGUACUCCCAGCUACUUGGGAGGCUGAGGCAUGAAUAAGCUUGAACCCAGGAGGCAGAGGUUGCAGUGAGCUGAGAUCGUGCCACCAACCUGGGCAACACAGUGAGACUCCCUCUCAAACAAAACAUAAAAACCAAAACCAAAACCAAUCAAACAAAAAAAUUAACGAAACAAAAACAAUCUCUUGAGCUACACAGAAACAUUGGCCACUCAUGGGGUAAAAAGCUCAGAGCCCAGCCUUGCUUUAUAGAAACUUCUAAGCAAGAAAAAAGUGGAAGUGUUUGUGUCCUGGUUUCAAGGUGACUGCGUAACUCAGACAAGUUGACUUAAAGGAGAUCCAGAGUGGAGAUGAGAAGUGAAACCAGGGAAACAGCAUCUUGAAAUCAGUGGACAAGGCUGUCAGUGACAUCCCUCAGUCCUGAUUCAGCGUGUUGAUUCACCAUGGCCAUCAUGUGUUUGGGUUUUCUCCCCAGUCCUAGCUCCACCUCUUCUGCCCACGCCAAAUGUCCAGCAUGGUGGUACUGUGAUGAAGUCAGAGAUGAAUACUCUGAAAUCAAUGAAGCUUCUUGUGAGGAGAGAAUAGCGAUCCAUUCAUAAACACCAAGGAAAAGGGCCUGGCGCUCAAGUGGCCUACUUUCUGGCCAAGGGGCAGAACAGUUACAGUAAGUUCCCUAGGCUCACCAUCACAAAAGUGAUGAAUGAUGUCUUCUCUCUGAAACUAGAUUUGUCUCUAUGAAAUGUGUAAUACUUUCUGUACUUGUAGGAAAAUAGAAAUGGGUAUUUUCACCUUUUGUUAGAAAGCUGAAGAGUGCACCAAAAUAUUUCAAAACUCCGUGUUUGCAGUCCAGAUUAAGGGGAUGGGCCUAGAGUUAAAAUCUCAGUUAUGGUUUCAGACACAGGCACAGAAUGACCUGUUUUCUCCAAGAGGCUAAAUCAUGUUUUCAAGAAUCCUCUCUGUAAACCAUAUAAGAUCUGGCAGAAAAAUAACAUCCUAGUCUGUGUUCCUAAAUGUCUCGGGCUAGUGAACUUUUAUUCAGUUCAAGCUUCUGGUAGGCCAAUAGGCCAAACUCUGUUCUAAAGGGACCUGGGGAGAAUUUGGUGAAUAAUUACACAGUACUGCUGUGAGGUAAGAGGAGUGCAGAACCUGUGGGUAUCUAUAACUGAC
rnacentral:lncRNA from 1 species